rnacentral:rRNA from 1 species
ACAGCAGCAGCCGCGGGAAUACGAAGGGUGCAAGCGUUAAUCGGAAUUACUGGGCGUAAAGCGUGCGUAGGCGGUGAGUUAAGUCUGCUGUGAAAUCCCCGGGCUCAACCUGGGAAUGGCAGUGGAUACUGGCUCGCUAGAGUGUGUCAGAGGAUGGUGGAAUUCCCGGUGUAGCGGUGAAAUGCGUAGAGAUCGGGAGGAACAUCAGUGGCGAAGGCGGCCAUCUGGGACAACACUGACGCUGAGGCACGAAAGCGUGGGGAGCAAACAGGAUUAGAUACCCCAGUAGUCCCUGUCUCUUAUAC